rnacentral:pre_miRNA from 14 species
UACUCCUGAAAGACCCCCGGAGCGGGAAGACCCUCACUCAAGUCUCGGGAUGAUGCGACCCCCCAAGAACUCACGUGAGACC